GGGGGCGAAUGGUCUCGACGGGGGUUAUGAGACUCAUGUGGCAUGUCGUGGCUCCAUCCCCACGUAAAAAGAUGGAACAAACACAAACGCCAAUAACGAACUGGCACUCGCUGCUUAAUUAAGCAGCACGCUCCUUUGGGCUUGUCUGCGACCCUUAGAUAGCGUCAAUCAGCGGGCUGGCUUUCAGGUGCGCUCCCUGCCUGAAGGCGAGACUAAGGGAGAUAGGGGUUCAGGAAGCCUGUCAGUCGGCGAACUGGGCUCCGAAGCUGAAAAAGGCUGACUACACAUGUAGAAGCAUGAGAGUAGUACUUUCGGACGCGGGUUCGAUUCCCGCCGCCUCCACCA
rnacentral:tmRNA from 1 species